AACAGAUGGUGUCAGAUCUUUAUGCAGUGUCGGUGAGACGAUCUUGCAACAGAUCAGUCAGACAACACACUCAAGCGGACACUCCUCUGUAGAAGGAAACAUGGAAAGUGUGAGGAAGGAUGCCGGUCUGCAAGCAGAGCUGGUUGAACUUCACCUCAGCGCUGAGGUCCAGACUACGUCCUGUGAAACCACGUGAUGUUUCACUCCGUCCGGUGUUGAUGUAAUGAUUCAGGCCGUACUCGUCAGGCUUCCCAUCGACCACACGCAUUUCAGUCACAUACCCCAUGACUGACAAAAAGGGAAAGAGCAGAAAAAAAGUAAUUAACCGUGGUGGUUAAACUGUUUCCUGUCUUUGUGGGCGUACUCACAGGGAAUU